AUAACUUGCCCCAAAUCACACAGCUACAAUGUGUCAGAGCUGAGAUUCGAGUUCAUGUCUGACUCCAAAUCUACUAAUCUUUCCACUACACCACAUCUAUUCCGAGGCUCACACAGGUGGCGGAUGUGGCUGUUGGCCGACUGGAUCAUGGAGUAGAAGUUGUUGGCACUGCGGCGAUUCACCUCUCCUCGCUCAAUCCAGGAAAUACAGAUGCAGAGGGAAGACAGCCACCUGAAGAUGGAGGCAGAGAUUGGAGUUAUACUGCACAAGCCAAGAAACGACUAGAAUUGCCAGCAACCACCAGAAGCUAGGACGAGGCAGUUAAGGAUCCUUUCCUGGAGCCUUCAGAGAGAAUAUGGCCCUGUUGACACCCUGAUUUCAGACUUCAGGCCUCCAGAAG